GACGAACGCUGGCGGCGUGCUUAACACAUGCAGGUCGAACGGAAAGGCCCUGCUUUUGUGGGGUGCUCGAGUGGCGAACGGGUGAGUAACACGUGAGUAACCUGCCCUUGACUUUGGGAUAACUUCAGGAAACUGGGGCUAAUACCGGAUAGGAGCUCCUGCUGCAUGGUGGGGGUUGGAAAGUUUCGGCGGUUGGGGAUGGACUCGCGGCUUAUCAGCUUGUUGGUGGGGUAGUGGCUUACCAAGGCUUUGACGGGUAGCCGGCCUGAGAGGGUGACCGGCAACAUGGGGACUGAGAUAGGGCCCAGACUCCGCCGGGAGGAAGCGGGGGGGAUUAUUGAAAAGGGGGCGGAAGCCGGAUGCAGCACCGCCGGGUGGGGGAUGGCGGCCUUCGGUUUGAAACCCGCUUCCGCUGGUGACGAAGGGGGAGUGGGGGAAGGGGGUAAAAAAGCCCCGGCUAACUAGGUG
rnacentral:rRNA from 1 species